GGGGUGACUAGUGACCAGAGUGAGAGAGGGGGUGACUAGUGACCGAGUGAGGGAGGGAGUGGGUGACUAGUGACAGAGUGAGGAAGGGGGUGACACAGUGAUAGUCACCCCAUUCCUCCCUCUGUCACUAAUCACCACCUCCCUCACUCUCACUAGUCACCCCUUCCCUCUCUCACUCUGUCACUAGUCACACCCUCCCUCUCUCUGUCACUAGUCACACCC